rnacentral:lncRNA from 1 species
CUUAGUUCUUUUAUGUUGGUUCUGUGUGAUGAGCUGCCGCAUAGCUAAGAUAACAAGUUUGCAGGUUAACUUAUUUUUCCAGCAAAGUCGUUUGAUAGUUCUGCCUGCAGGAGCUUUAUUAACCACUAUUUGACAUUAACAUUCGAGUUUCAGAAGUGAGGGGAUUUUUAUUUAUUACUAAGUUAGUAACUGCCAUUUACUUUGAAUUUAGCUUUCUUCUAUAUGUGGCUAAACUCUUGUAUUUUAUUGUGUUCUUUUUAGUGAAAUAGAACGGCUAAUCUUGCCUUCAUGAUCAUUCUUUUUCAAUCUCAUGCUAAACUAUUGUUCAACUUAUUCUUAGUUUUCUCUGCAUGAUUUCCUUGUGGCUACGAACACUGAUGUUAUAGUUGCAUAUUUGCUGACAUUUUAAAUAUUGCUUCAUGCUUUUGACUUUGUUAAUUUUCCAUUUAUGCUUUUAAAUGUUCAGAGUGAAUGAUCCAGUGGCUUUGAAGCUACUUGGCAAGGCAGGAGAGAUGGCCACUCUGGAGGCUCCUGAGGAUGAGAGCAUUAAAACACUUUAUGUUGGUGGACUUGAUGCUAGGGUCACGGAGCAGGAUUUACGGGAUAACUUCUAUGCCCAUGGAGAAAUUGAAUCCAUCAAAAUGGUUCUCCAACGGGCUUGUGCUUUUGUAACAUAUACAACCAGGGAAGGUGCAGAAAAAGCAGCAGAAGAACUCUCCAACAAAUUGGUUAUUAAGGGCCUAAGGCUAAAGCUGAUGUGGGGCAGGCCUCAGAACUCAAAACCUGAGUCUGACGGUUCUGAUCAAGCAAGGCAGCAGGCUUCUGUAGCUCACAGUGGAUUGUUGCCUCGAGCAGUUAUAUCACAGCAGCAGAACCAGGACCAAACCCAAGGAAUGCUUUACUAUAACAAUCCACUACCUCCUCAGCAGGAAAGAAGCUACUACCCAUCAAUGGACCCUCAAAGAAUGGGUGCUCUUAUUCCAUCCCAAGAUGGUCCUCCUGGUGGGCCUUCUGGGUCAGGGGAGAACAAGCUUAGUUUGGAAAAGCAGCAGAUGCAACAUUAUCCCCACUCAUUGAUGCCUCCUCCACCUGGUCAAUAUCAUCAUCAGUAUUAUCCUCCAUAUGGUUAUAUGCCUCCAGCUACCCCUUAUCAUCAUCAGUAUCCACCUCCAUACAAUGCUGCUGGGCCUCCACCACAGCCACCAGCUGCAAGUCAUCCUUAUCAGCAUUCUAUGCAGCCAGGGUCUGGACAGGCUGCAACUGCCCCAGCUGAAACUGGAACAUCAACUUCAGGGCCUCAGCAGCAAUAAAAUUGCUCAUAUACUGAUGUUUCUAGUUAUGUUUCAUUAUUGUUCAAAGUUUUUCCAUAAACUGACCAUGCUGAUAGGGAAGAUAUUCACACUCAAGCUGUCAAUUUAUUAUCUCUGCUAGCAUGAUAUUGCUUGCAUGGUGGCUUGAAGAAGUUAUUCUAUAAUUUGAUUUUGUGGUCUUUUAACUUUUGGCUUUCUUGUUAGAUCAUAGUCAUUCUCGGCUUUAGUAUUACUCUGAAUUGAAUGGUGUUGUUGUUACAACUAAUGUUUUGGUUAUUAACAUUUCGUUAAAGAUGGUCAAUUGAUUUUGUAUACCAUUACAAUACUUGAAGAAUGUAGACAGAUUGAUUUAGAACUUUCUAUUGCUGAGGAUUGUAUUCUUCCUUGUAUUUUUUUUUAGAAAAUUCAAAUUGGUUCUUGAUUGAUUGUUG